rnacentral:rRNA from 1 species
UACGUAGGUGGCAAGCGUUGUCCGGAUUUAUUGGGUUUAAAGGGUGCGUAGGCGGUCCUAUAAGUCAGUGGUGAAAUACGGCAGCUUAACUGUCGAGGUGCCAUUGAUACUGCAGGACUAGAGUACUGAUGAGGUAGGCGGAAUGGACGGUGUAGCGGUGAAAAUGCUUAGAUAUUGUCCAGAACACCGAUAGCGAAGGCAGCUUACUAAGGAGUAAACUGACGCUGAGGCACGAAAGUGUGGGGGAUCAAAACAGG